CAUGGCGGCGGCUCGCAGCCGUUGGAGGUCGCCGCUCCCAGGCAGCGUUUCCCCCCCCCCGCGGCGUUAUUAGCUAGUGUGGAGAGUGGUGAGAGGCGAUGGCGUGAUCCGGCGGGGCGGGCAGGCCGUCCGAACCACGGCGGAGCCAGCCGGUGCAGUGCCGCUGCAGCGGAACGACGCCCCGUCGCCUUGGAGCGGUAGCGGCCUUGCCCUGGAGAAUAAGGCUUCGUGAUAGAAGAUAAUAAAAGCAUGAUGACUAAGCAGAGUGCUGAAGCUUAUCAGGAAUACUUAGAAAAGCAGAAAAAUUCCAGAGGACAUGACACCUCAGCUGCUCACUGCCAUGGCAGAAGAGAAAUAAUGCAUUUGAUGCUUUAUUGUGUGUGUGGCUCUUGGAAUUCCUCCCAGAGGCCUCUGGAGGGUACCAUGGUUAAAUGGAAGCCAAAGACUUACCAAGAUUGAGAACAAAAAUGGGCAAACAACUCAUAUAAGUAGAUGCAAGAUUCAUUUAAAAUAAGGAAAACCUCUGUUUAUGUUCUUAUGCUGAAAGAUAUAUGAAACUUCUAAUUAGCAAUUUUGCAAAGACUUUUUGUCUUGUAUUUCAAAGGAAAAAACCUUUUCAGAGAAAAUUUCAUUGAAGAAGUUUGUUUUAAAGGGAAUUAUUUUCUGCCAGUGCACACUAGAUUGCUCACAGUUGCGAAUUACAGCUCACAAAUGAAAAAAUAUAGUCUUCCUGACAUGUGCAGUGGGUAGGUAAAGCUAUUGAGAUUCUUCAAUACAUGAUAUGAUGGCUGUUAACAUGAAAAGGGAUUCAUUAUUUAAUUUAGAGAGAGUAAUGAUUUGGUUUUGAAUAAAAUGCACAGAAGAGAAAAUGAGACAAGGCUACUUCUACUGAUCUGAGCUGAGCAACCUCCCAUUUUAAAAAUUAUCAUGAUCUAUAAAAGCAAAAUUUUUGUGAAAAUUGGGUGGAGGUUGUAUGUGCACAACAGUGGGAAAACAUCCUUGUCUCUUUCUUUAGUAUUUUUGGACUCCCUUUCAGUUAGAGUGCUCACCAUGAAAGAAUAACAGAAAUCAAGUAAAUUGCAGUGUUUAAAUUUAUAUGCUUUAACAGAUACGAAAAGGUGGGGAUCUAAAAUAUGCAGAUAUAUGGAUUUGAUUUGCAAUGACAUUCUAUCAUUUUGUUUCAAGUUGGACAACGGAUGUAGCACACUAAGGAAGUUUUUCUCUACUAGUUUCAAGUAUUCAGUUGCUACGUUGGUCAAAUACUUUUGUAUUCUAGCUCUCAAACUAGAUAAUAACACAAUACUGUGUGUUUACUUUGAUUCCAGUAGCCAGACUCAUAAAAUGAAAGUCUCACAUGUGAAUAAAAGAUUGCAAGGCUGCAGCCUAAUUGAUUAUACACAAAGAACUGUCAGAAAUCCAAAGUGAGCAAAGUGUAAGGCCGUCCUCUAAUUUUUUAAUUUUCGGAGUUUUAAUUCCACUUGUGCUUAAAGUUAGUAUUAAUCAUAGGAAAAAAAAAUGCAUCCUUUCUCCCUUUAAUAUUUCUCUGGUUAAUCAACAUUUAUAAAUGCUGUGAUACGUUUCAGAUGUUACUAAUGUAUUUUUAUCUGAGGAUUGUUUAACAUGCAUAAUAAAACAGGCCUGUGUGCUGAAACACAGCAUAGUGGAACGUGGCAUAGUGCUGCUUAGGAAGUAAAUCAUCUCUUUUUUGGAUUUUCAUUAGGUGUAAGUGCUUUGGAUAGCCAUGGAAAUACAACUGUUGGUAAACAUAUUGCACAGUUGAUCUACUUCCUAUCUUUUUUUUUUUUCUUGUGACUAACGUAAAUAUUUGUGUCUAACUAUUUUUGGAGAAGCAUCCCUUCUAUAAACAAUUUAAUUUUACUAGCAAAGGGAGUGUAUUAGGAAUAGCACUCUGAUCAGAUCACUGCUAGCCAGUGAAUGACUAGGGGUUUAAGACAGGAGGUGGCAGCCUUGAGUAGCAACUCACUGUUGUUAUUAGUUAAGCACAGAUCCUAGUUGAAAUAGAAGCUAGGCACAGAUAACUCAGUUCUGAGCUCUUGUUCUUAAACACUGAAAUGACAAGCAGCUUAGUUAUUAAAGGUGGCAGCAACUUGCUUUGUCCAUUUUGACUGAUAAUUAACAAAAUCUAACAGACUUGUUUAACAGUUGCAAUGUGACAUUAUGUGAGUUUUCUUAGAUUUUGAAAUAUUUAGAUUAAUAUCGGAAGAGGAAAAGACUGCAGCAUAAUGGAGAGGCAGAACCUAUCCUGUCCCAUUUUCUUCUGGAUUUGUUUCUUCUUAUUACGGCAAAUCAAGUUGCAAACAAGAAUAAUCUUCAAUAAAAUAUUGUGCUGUUUUAUUUAAAUAAUAUGUAUAUUAACUUCUGAGCUUCUUUUAAGUAUUCUGGAAGGGCAAAUGAUUAUCCAUUGCCUGGCUGUGAUCUGUAUGGAGAGUAUAAGGUACUUGUUUCUCCCUAAGGAACCACCACAAAGUAAUAGCAAGAGAACCUACUUUUGUUAAAAAUGUCACUGACUGAAAUUUUCUAAUCAAUAAACCAGUGCAGAACCUUGCACUUACUCUGCCUCAGCAGAGGGAGGAACUUGGUGACAUCACUGGUUUUUCCCUGUGAAAAUGCUUAUUUGGAAAAAGACAAAAAAAGAUGAAAUGAAUCACAGUAGCUGUGUGCAAAAUCCCACUUUUAAUCUUUUUGAAAAAUAUAAACAGUACCAUUCAUUGGGACAAUCAAAAUGUAGCCGGAGGGUUCUCUAGAAUUGCUUAUUUCCAGUAUUUACUGUAAAAAUUUUGCUUUUAACUUGUUUUUUAUAAUUUUUGUAUAUUUAUUGUUUGAUUUUCCUUA